AGUAGGUGUAGCUCAGUGGUUGAGCGCCUGCUUCACAUGUAGGAGGUCCCAGGUUCAAUCCCUGGUACCUCUU
rnacentral:tRNA from 1 species